rfam:Aedes aegypti strain Liverpool supercont1.306 genomic scaffold, whole genome shotgun sequence.
UGCCCAGCUACUCCUAUGCCUACCUCCUCAUGGUACUGGCCGGAGUACGAGUAACCGGUGGGAACUGGGAACUUUGGUCGUAUGCUGAAAGGGAAGG